rnacentral:lncRNA from 1 species
CUUGCCUGAUGCUGUGUGUGUGUGGGAUGCAGACUCCUGGUGGAUCCAGGGGAGGAGUGAGCCCACCUGGGCUGCCUGCUGUUGCUAGGCUGGAGGUUGAAAAAUGCUGCGCCUGCAUCUCUGUCUUCUGUUGGGCCAGGUGGUCGGGGGGGACACAAGACUCCCUGCGGCUGUGCUGUCCCUUGGUCCUGGAGUCCCAAACUGGCUCACCACCUUCUUCCUCUUUUCGGAGACCUCCUGUGGCAGUUUGUCUGCUGCACUGUUUCCAGGGUUCCUGGUGAAGCCGGGGAAGGAGCAGGAAAAUGGGUCUACACUGGACAUCAGCAGCCAGAAGGCCAAUCAAAAGUCUCAGGUGCUCCAGGAUAUUUCCUCACCUCGUGGAGCUCCAGGUGCCUCAAAUAUCUCCACCAAGUGCCAUCACCUUUGUUCCGGUACCGUCUUCCUUGGGGCCUGGCAGAAGCAUACCUGUGAGAGGGCAUUAAGUUUUCAUCUGUGUGAAGUUGGUCAGAGACCACACAGCGCAGGAACAGAGACAGCUCUGAGCUUCUGUGUGUCCCAGCAGAGCGGCGUGUUCAGAUUCUGCACAGCCUCCUUGGUCUGGGCUGGCCGGCCUCUCCCUUUGUUCGCUCCCUUCCUCUGUGUCCUCCUUCAGCCUCUGCAGGCCUGCAGGCCGGGCUGUGCUGGGGGCCCUCCAUGGAUGCGGACGGCACCGUGGCUCCCC